GAUGUCAAGACGGCUGGUCACACACACCCAAGGACA
rnacentral:tRNA from 1 species